rnacentral:rRNA from 1 species
UAGGGAAUCUUCGGCAAUGGACGAAAGUCUGACCGAGCAACGCCGCGUGAGUGAAGAAGGUUUUCGGAUCGUAAAACUCUGUUGUUAGAGAAGAACAAGGACGUUAGUAACUGAACGUCCCCUGACGGUAUCUAACCAGAAAGCCACGGCUAACUACGUGCCAGCAGCCCGGUAAUACGUAGGUGGCAAGCGUUGUCCGGAUUUAUUGGGCGUAAAGCGAGCGCAGGCGGUUUCUUAAGUCUGAUGUGAAAGCCCCCGGCUCAACCGGGGAGGGUCAUUGGAAACUGGGAGACUUGAGUGCAGAAGAGGAGAGUGGAAUUCCAUGUGUAGCGGUGAAAUGCGUAGAUAUAUGGAGGAACACCAGUGGCGAAGGCGGCUCUCUGGUCUGUAACUGACGCUGAGGCUCGAAAGCGUGGGGAGCAAACAGG